AUAAAAAGUGCUAUAAAAAAGUAGCCAACAUAUUUUGCUUUCCGAGUAGUGCCUCUUUUGAGGCACUUUUUUUGUGUU
rnacentral:ncRNA from 16 species